CCCUUAGAUGUCCUGGGCCGCACGCGCGCUACACUGAUGCAUGCAACGAGUUUAUAACCUUGGCCUGAAAGGUCUGGGUAAUCUUUUGAACGUGCAUCGUGAUAGGGAUAGAUUAUUGCAAUUGUUAAUCUUGAACGAGGAAUUCCUAGUAAACGCGAGUCAUCAGCUCGCAUUGAUUACGUCCCUGCCCUUUGUACACACCGCCCGUCGCACCUACCGAUUGAGUGAUCCGGUGAAUAAUUCGGACUGCAGCAAUGUUCAGCUCCUGAAUGUUGCAGCGGAAAGUUUAGUGAACCUUAUCACUUAGAGGAAGGAGAAGUCGUAACA
rnacentral:rRNA from 1 species